ensembl:misc_RNA Y_RNA Y RNA
GGUUGGUCCAAUGGUAGUGGGUUAUCAGAACUUAUUAACAUUAGUGUCACUAAAGUUGGUAUUCAACUCCCCACUGCUAAAUAUGACUGGCUUUUA